rnacentral:rRNA from 1 species
AUUGAACGCUGGCGGCAGGCCUAACACAUGCAAGUCGAACGAGUGGCGGACGGGUGAGUAAUGUCUGGGAAACUGCCUGAUGGAGGGGGAUAACUACUGGAAACGGUAGAUAAUACCGCAUACCAUCAGAUGUGCCCAGAUGGGCUUAGCUAUUGGGUGGGGUAACGGCUCACACAGGCGACGAUCCCUAGCUGGUCUGAGAGGAUGACCAGACCACCUGGAACUGAGACACGGUCCAGACUCCUACGUGAGGCAGCAGUGGGGAAUAUUGCACAAUGGGCGCAAGCCGGAUUCAGCCAUGCCGCGUGUAUGAAGAAGGCCUUCGGGUUGUAAAGUACUUUCAGCGGGGAGGCGUUACCCGCAGAAGAAGCACCGGCUAACUCCGUGCCAGCAGCCGCGGUAAUUC